GGAUACUUCUUUGUCCCACAUGGAGACAGAAGCUCCUGCUUAAGUAACCCUGGGGACUUGGAUCAGACAUCAUUAAAAGCAGUGGGGCAGCCAGCCCAUGGGGAGGAGUGGCAAAUGCGGUGCGAAUGAUCAUGUCCUGCAUGGGACAGACCAGGUCUGCCUGCCCUGCACUGCCUGAAGCUAUUGCAGAUGUGACCACUGUAACCUGCCCCAGGAAGGCUGCCAGGCAGCUUCUAAUGCUUUCCUGCAGAUGAAUCAGAGCUGGGGAUAUUAAUUAUGAUGGAAUUUUGUGAGGCUUAGGAAGCAGAUGAGAGUCCUCACAUGCUAGUGUGGUCCUAGAGAUGGACAGUCCAGGCUCAAAAGGCUAUUUCUUUCAGUAUUCAUCACUUACAAGUCAAGAUACUCAGUAAGCAGGAGAUUCCCUUGAUAGCUGCCUGGCCAGGGCAAGAUGAGACACUUUCAGACAGCAGGCUGUAAAUAACACAAGGUAGGAAUUCAUGAUCUGCUUGACAUAGGAUAUUCAGUAGAGGUUAUAUAAAAUUCCUCCUGCCUUGUGGAUCACCCCUGCACUGGAGCCUGUAUUUGGAUGCAUUUUUCUCCUUCCCCAGCACAAGCACAGCUCUUUUCCCAUACCUCCAUCUCUUACUGAGUCUUCUCCCACACACUGUAUUUGUGGCAAGGAAAGGCAACUCAAAGACACACACAGCAAAUAAGGUCUGCUUAAUACACAGAUGAAUGCCAAGGAUCAAGCACACGGAGUAUAUGAAGACUUCAGUGAGUGCCUGUCAAGCAGUGUGGUCAUUGGGCACUGCUGGUACCUCCAGAGAGUGACAGGAAAACAGAAAUGGAGUGAGGCUCACCCAUCCUCUGCUGCAAGGUUAAUACUUCCAUCAAAACCCACUGAUCAUCCAAAAGCCUCUGAGUUUCCCCAUGAAAUCUCUGGGCUUCUCAGUCUCAGUACCUCAAUCUAAAAUGAUUUCUUCUGCUUCUAAGGAGUGGGACUGAAUUUAGAUCUGCAGGUUUCCAGAACUGUGGUCCUGGAGCCCAUAGACCCUUCUACCCUCUGUAGACACUACCUUUCUUCACAUGCCACAUCCCAAGGCACGUACAGGUGUGAGUCAGAUACUGCAUUUACAAAAGCACAGGAUCUGGCUCCAGCUGAAGCAGGACAUGGUCAGAUUUGCUGCUAAAUUCUGUGCAGGAGGGUUGCUCUGAUUUUUUACAGUACUCUGGUUACUGAAAUCACGUAUUCUCUGUCCUCAACAUUUUAAUACUUAUUAACACCAUCUUUAAUGCAUUCUACUUUCAUGAAUCACACCCUGAGGUGUCUAAUUUUUUUUGCUUUGAUACCGGCUUCUGGAUUCCACUUCAGGAGCUGGGUACUUAAAUCCUAAGCAAUGCAAUGAUGAAAUCACACUUGAGUGCAACUUAAUCUCUGCUGUGAAAAUCCUUUGUGCAUGGGGAAAAAACACUACCAUGAGUGUGAUUGCUGCAAAAGAGCUUGAGCUGAGUUAGGAGGGCCAACCUACAUGCUAGCCUCUUCCAGCAACAGAGCAUAUAGGCAAGAGCAGGAACAGGACAAACAUUCGUGAUGCUUCUCCCAGAAUAUUAACAAGCCUAUUUCAGUCAAGGGUUCGCAGCUUUGAAGUGGUUUGCCUAUGUGUUAACCUCCAUGAGAUUUCCAAGUUCUUGUGCAGUCCAAGUGCUGAUCUUGAAUUCUGCAGGCACUUGCAUGCCAGCACCCUUGGGCAAGGAGGCCCCAGAUCUUCUCCUUGUUGUACAAAGAACCAUCUCUUCUUGGGUAUUUUUUUUUCUAUUUGACUCUUACUGGGGUCAUUCAAAGGCAUUCCAUUCUUGUAUUGGAAGAGAAAGUGAAGAAUCAGCAUCUCUUCACCUGCUCUGUGCCACUCAUGGUUGUGCUCUUAUUAUCAUCGUUGAUGAGAGCUGGGGAAAUGCUUAGGCCUUGGUGCAGAAAAAUGGGCUGCCAUCACCUCUGACCCUACGUUGUUCUCCUUGAGGAGCUACAACCAUGGAAACGAUGAACAAGAAUGGUUAUAACACUUCAACAGCUGCUGCUGACAGGACUAAUAAACAUGAUUUUAAAAUGCUUCCUGGGAAAAGCAAAAACGUGUUUCAAACAGAGCGUGAUGCACAAGAUGUGGUUCCCCUGAAAAUCCCCAGAACAAAGUCUGGGAGUUCAACUUCUCAAUGUAAUUGAGAAAUGGGAAAAAAAUUACUAGCAGUUUAACUGUAAAAUUUCAAUACAGAAUUAAGCGAGGAAGUAUUACAGUAUCUUCCUGCAACUGGUUAUUAGAAUAAAGAAGACAUUCAAGAGCAAAGUGCAAAAUUGAUUUUUUUCUUGUAUAACUCCUGAGAAAAUAACUGUAUCCUUAAUUCAGUAAAAUAAAGGGGUCUACUG
rnacentral:lncRNA from 7 species